GCCUGUAUAGCUCAGUUGGUAGAGCGUGCCCUUCGUAUCUCGGCCUCGAUCCAUCGAGGAGCUCCAAGGUUGUUCAGUGAGGGUAAGGUCGGCAGUUCGAUCCUGUCUGGAGGCA